rnacentral:rRNA from 1 species
UACCCGCUCCGCGAGUGGUGAGGACUAUUACUGGGCUUAAAGCGUCCGUAGCCGGCUCGGCGUGCUCCGCGUUAAAUCCAGCAGCCUAACUGCUGGGCUGCGCGGAUGACUGCCGGGCUUGGGGGUGGGAGAGGGCGGCGGUAUUCCCGGGGUAGGGGUAAAAUCCACUGAUCCCGGGAGGACCACCAGUGGCGAAGGCGGCCGCCCAGAACACGCCCGACGGUGAGGGACGAAAGCUGGGGGAGCGAUC